rnacentral:rRNA from 1 species
CCCGCUGAACUUAAGCAUAUCAAUAAGCGGAGGAAAAGAAACCAACAGGGAUUGCCCUAGUAACGGCGAGUGAAGCGGCAACAGCUCAAAUUUGAAAUCUGGCUUCGGCCCGAGUUGUAAUUUGCAGAGGAAGCUUUAGGCGCGGCACCAACUGAGUCCCCUGGAACGGGGCGCCACAGAGGGUGAGAGCCCCGUAUAGUUGGACGCCUAGCCUGUGUAAAGCUCCUUCGACGAGUCGAGUAGUUUGGGAAUGCUGCUCAAAAUGGGAGGUAAAUUUCUUCUAAAGCUAAAUACCGGCCAGAGACCGAUAGCGCACAAGUAGAGUGAUCGAAAGAUGAAAAGCACUUUGAAAAGAGGGUUAAAUAGCACGUGAAAUUGUUGAAAGGGAAGCGCUUGUGACCAGACUUGCGCCCGGCUGAUCAUCCGGUGUUCUCACCGGUGCACUCUGCCGGGCUCAGGCCAGCAUCGGUUCUCGCGGGGGGAUAAAGGUCCUGGGAACGUAGCUCCUCCGGGAGUGUUAUAGCCCAGGGCGUCAUGCCCUCGCGGGGACCGAGGUUCGCGCAUCUGCAAGGAUGCUGGCGUAAUGGUCAUCAGCGACCCGUCUUGAAACACGG